rnacentral:rRNA from 1 species
ACGAACGCUGGCGGCGUGCCUCAUACAUGCCAGUAGAACGCUGAAGAGAGGAGCUUGCUCUUCUUGGAUGAGUUGCGAACGGGUGAGUAACGCGUAGGUAACCUGCCUUGUAGCGGGGGAUAACUAUUGGAAACGAUAGCUAAUACCGCAUAACAAUGGAUGACACAUGUCAUUUAUUUGAAAGGGGCAAUUGUUCCACUACAAGAUGGACCUGCGUUGUAUUAGCUAGUAGGUGAGGUAAUGGCUCACCUAGGCGACGAUACAUAGCCGACCUGAGAGGGUGAUCGGCCACACUGGGACUGAGACACGGCCCAGACUCCUACGGGAGGCAGCAGUAGGGAAUCUUCGGCAAUGGGGGCAACCCUGACCGAGCAACGCCGCGUGAGUGAAGAAGGUUUUCGGAUCGUAAAGCUCUGUUGUAAGUCAAGAACGGGUGUGAGAGUGGAAAGUUCACACUGUGACGGUAGCUUACCAGAAAGGGACGGCUAACUACGUG